GGUUAGGGUUAGGGUGAGACUUUGGGCAAGGGGUUAGGGUUAGGGCUGGAGCUAUGGUUAGGGUUAGUUGUGGAGCUAGGGUUAGGGUUAGGGUUGGAGCUAGGGUUAGGGUUAGGGUUGGAGCUAGGGUUAGGGUUAGGGUUAGGAAAAUGUGAAGAUUUUCCCAAAAUCUGAAGAUUUUCCUAAGUGCGGACCCAAUUUUUCACCUUCCAGAAUUGUGUUAGGAGCACGUUUCAGGCCACGGGGAGUCCAUAGAACCUGAUUGUGGGUGAAGUUUUCGGGGGUUGGAGCUUUGGGGCAGGAUAUAGGGAUAUGUGCCACUUUUGACAUGCCGGUUCAUUGCCUUUCCCAUGAUGAACCGGGCUGAGAUUUGGUCUACCCCCCCAUUUUCGGGUAUGCUGAAUCUAGAAAUAGUAAUGAACCAGCGAUCGGACAUUCCUAUCAAAAGUUAUGGCGAAGUGAAAAUUUCCCAUUGAAAAUGAAUGGGAGCGGAAAAUGGCCAAAGUCAGUGUUUGCAAGUGUUGUACUUGUCUGGAAGUGUUGAAAAUGCAUUGUGAGCACGUUUCAGGCCAUUUCCUGUCAUUUGAGGGCGACUUUGCAAAAAGGGGUGUCCUACCGCUUUUGACCAGAGGUGGCGCUGCACAUGUCCGACGGUUAGGGUUAGGGUGAGACUUUGGGCAAGGGGUUAGGGUUAGGGCUGGAGCUAUGGUUAGGGUUAGUUGUGGAGCUAGGGUUAGGGUUAGGGUUGGAGCUAGGGUUAGGGUUAGGGUUGGAGCUAGGGUUAGGGUUAGGGUUAGGAAAAUGUGAAGAUUUUCCCAAAAUCUGAAGAUUUUCCUAAGUGCGGACCCAAUUUUUCACCUUCCAGAAUUGUGUUAGGAGCACGUUUCAGGGCCACGGGGAGUCCAUAGAACCUGAUUGUGGGUGAAGUUUUCGGGGGUUGGAGCUUUGGGGCAGGAUAUAGGGAUAUGUGCCACUUUUGACAUGCCGGUUCAUUGCCUUUCCCAUCGAUGAACCGGGCUGAGAUUUGGUCUACCCCCCAUUUUCGGGUAUGCUGAAUCUAGAAAUAGUAAUGAACCAGCGAUCGGACAUUCCUAUCAAAAGUUAUGGCGAAGUGAAAAUUUCCCAUUGAAAAUGAAUGGGAGCGGAAAAAUGGCCAAAGUCAGUGUUUGCAAGUGUUGUACUUGUCUGGAAGUGUUGAAAAUGCAUUGUGAGCACGUUUCAGGCCAUUUCCUGUCAUUUGAGGGCGACUUUGCAAAAAGGGGUGUCCUACCGCUUUUGACCAGAGGUGGCGCUGCACAUGUCCGACGGUUAGGGUUAGGGUGAGACUUUGGGCAAGGGGUUAGGGUUAGGGCUGGAGCUAUGGUUAGGGUUAGUUGUGGAGCUAGGGUUAGGGUUAGGGUUGGAGCUAGGGUUAGGGUUAGGGUUGGAGCUAGGGUUAGGGUUAGGGUUAGGAAAAUGUGAAGAUUUUCCCAAAAUCUGAAGAUUUUCCUAAGUGCGGACCCAAUUUUUCACCUUCCAGAAUUGUGUUAGGAGCACGUUUCAGGCCACGGGGAGUCCAUAGAACCUGAUUGUGGGUGAAGUUUUCGGGGGUUGGAGCUUUGGGGCAGGAUAUAGGGAUAUGUGCCACUUUUGACAUGCCGGUUCAUUGCCUUUCCCAUGAUGAACCGGGCUGAGAUUUGGUCUACCCCCCCAUUUUCGGGUAUGCUGAAUCUAGAAAUAGUAAUGAACCAGCGAUCGGACAUUCCUAUCAAAAGUUAUGGCGAAGUGAAAAUUUCCCAUUGAAAAUGAAUGGGAGCGGAAAAUGGCCAAAGUCAGUGUUUGCAAGUGUUGUACUUGUCUGGAAGUGUUGAAAAUGCAUUGUGAGCACGUUUCAGGCCAUUUCCUGUCAUUUGAGGGCGACUUUGCAAAAAGGGGUGUCCUACCGCUUUUGACCAGAGGUGGCGCUGCACAUGUCCGACGGUUAGGGUUAGGGUGAGACUUUGGGCAAGGGGUUAGGGUUAGGGCUGGAGCUAUGGUUAGGGUUAGUUGUGGAGCUAGGGUUAGGGUUAGGGUUGGAGCUAGGGUUAGGGUUAGGGUUGGAGCUAGGGUUAGGGUUAGGGUUAGGAAAAUGUGAAGAUUUUCCCAAAAUCUGAAGAUUUUCCUAAGUGCGGACCCAAUUUUUCACCUUCCAGAAUUGUGUUAGGAGCACGUUUCAGGCCACGGGGAGUCCAUAGAACCUGAUUGUGGGUGAAGUUUUCGGGGGUUGGAGCUUUGGGGCAGGAUAUAGGGAUAUGUGCCACUUUUGACAUGCCGGUUCAUUGCCUUUCCCAUGAUGAACCGGGCUGAGAUUUGGUCUACCCCCCCAUUUUCGGGUAUGCUGAAUCUAGAAAUAGUAAUGAACCAGCGAUCGGACAUUCCUAUCAAAAGUUAUGGCGAAGUGAAAAUUUCCCAUUGAAAAUGAAUGGGAGCGGAAAAUGGCCAAAGUCAGUGUUUGCAAGUGUUGUACUUGUCUGGAAGUGUUGAAAAUGCAUUGUGAGCACGUUUCAGGCCAUUUCCUGUCAUUUGAGGGCGACUUUGCAAAAGGGGUGUCCUACCGCUUUUGACCAGAGGUGGCGCUGCACAUGUCCGACGGUUAGGGUUAGGGUGAGACUUUGGGCAAGGGGUUAGGGUUAGGGCUGGAGCUAUGGUUAGGGUUAGUUGUGGAGCUAGGGUUAGGGUUAGGGUUGGAGCUAGGGUUAGGGUUAGGGUUGGAGCUAGGGUUAGGGUUAGGGUUAGGAAAAUGUGAAGAUUUUCCCAAAAUCUGAAGAUUUUCCUAAGUGCGGACCCAAUUUUUCACCUUCCAGAAUUGUGUUAGGAGCACGUUUCAGGCCACGGGGAGUCCAUAGAACCUGAUUGUGGGUGAAGUUUUCGGGGGUUGGAGCUUUGGGGCAGGAUAUAGGGAUAUGUGCCACUUUUGACAUGCCGGUUCAUUGCCUUUCCCAUCGAUGAACCGGGCUGAGAUUUGGUCUACCCCCCCAUUUUCGGGUAUGCUGAAUCUAGAAAUAGUAAUGAACCAGCGAUCGGACAUUCCUAUCAAAAGUUAUGGCGAAGUGAAAAUUUCCCAUUGAAAAUGAAUGGGAGCGGAAAAUGGCCAAAGUCAGUGUUUGCAAGUGUUGUACUUGUCUGGAAGUGUUGAAAAUGCAUUGUGAGCACGUUUCAGGCCAUUUCCUGUCAUUUGAGGGCGACUUUGCAAAAAGGGGUGUCCUACCGCUUUUGACCAGAGGUGGCGCUGCACAUGUCCGACGGUUAGGGUUAGGGUGAGACUUUGGGCAAGGGGUUAGGGUUAGGGCUGGAGCUAUGGUUAGGGUUAGUUGUGGAGCUAGGGUUAGGGUUAGGGUUGGAGCUAGGGUUAGGGUUAGGGUUGGAGCUAGGGUUAGGGUUAGGGUUAGGAAAAUGUGAAGAUUUUCCCAAAAUCUGAAGAUUUUCCUAAGUGCGGACCCAAUUUUUCACCUUCCAGAAUUGUGUUAGGAGCACGUUUCAGGCCACGGGGAGUCCAUAGAACCUGAUUCUGGGUGAAGUUUUCGGGGGUUGGAGCUUUGGGGCAGGAUAUAGGGAUAUGUGCCACUUUUGACAUGCCGGUUCAUUGCCUUUCCCAUGAUGAACCGGGCUGAGAUUUGGUCUACCCCCCAUUUUCGGGUAUGCUGAAUCUAGAAAUAGUAAUGAACCAGCGAUCGGACAUUCCUAUCAAAAGUUAUGGCGAAGUGAAAAUUUCCCAUUGAAAAUGAAUGGGAGCGGAAAAUGGCCAAAGUCAGUGUUUGCAAGUGUUGUACUUGUCUGGAAGUGUUGAAAAUGCAUUGUGAGCACGUUUCAGGCCAUUUCCUGUCAUUUGAGGGCGACUUUGCAAAAGGGGUGUCCUACCGCUUUUGACCAGAGGUGGCGCUGCACAUGUCCGACGGUUAGGGUUAGGGUGAGACUUUGGGCAAGGGGUUAGGGUUAGGGCUGGAGCUAUGGUUAGGGUUAGUUGUGGAGCUAGGGUUAGGGUUAGGGUUGGAGCUAGGGUUAGGGUUAGGGUUGGAGCUAGGGUUAGGGUUAGGGUUAGGAAAAUGUGAAGAUUUUCCCAAAAUCUGAAGAUUUUCCUAAGUGCGGACCCAAUUUUUCACCUUCCAGAAUUGUGUUAGGAGCACGUUUCAGGCCACGGGGAGUCCAUAGAACCUGAUUCUGGGUGAAGUUUUCGGGGGUUGGAGCUUUGGGGCAGGAUAUAGGGAUAUGUGCCACUUUUGACAUGCCGGUUCAUUGCCUUUCCCAUCGAUGAACCGGGCUGAGAUUUGGUCUACCCCCCAUUUUCGGGUAUGCUGAAUCUAGAAAUAGUAAUGAACCAGCGAUCGGACAUUCCUAUCAAAAGUUAUGGCGAAGUGAAAAUUUCCCAUUGAAAAUGAAUGGGAGCGGAAAAUGGCCAAAGUCAGUGUUUGCAAGUGUUGUACUUGUCUGGAAGUGUUGAAAAUGCAUUGUGAGCACGUUUCAGGCCAUUUCCUGUCAUUUGAGGGCGACUUUGCAAAAGGGGUGUCCUACCGCUUUUGACCAGAGGUGGCGCUGCACAUGUCCGACGGUUAGGGUUAGGGUGAGACUUUGGGCAAGGGGUUAGGGUUAGGGCUGGAGCUAUGGUUAGGGUUAGUUGUGGAGCUAGGGUUAGGGUUAGGGUUGGAGCUAGGGUUAGGGUUAGGGUUGGAGCUAGGGUUAGGGUUAGGGUUAGGAAAAUGUGAAGAUUUUCCCAAAAUCUGAAGAUUUUCCUAAGUGCGGACCCAAUUUUUCACCUUCCAGAAUUGUGUUAGGAGCACGUUUCAGGCCACGGGGAGUCCAUAGAACCUGAUUGUGGGUGAAGUUUUCGGGGGUUGGAGCUUUGGGGCAGGAUAUAGGGAUAUGUGCCACUUUUGACAUGCCGGUUCAUUGCCUUUCCCAUGAUGAACCGGGCUGAGAUUUGGUCUACCCCCCCAUUUUCGGGUAUGCUGAAUCUAGAAAUAGUAAUGAACCAGCGAUCGGACAUUCCUAUCAAAAGUUAUGGCGAAGUGAAAAUUUCCCAUUGAAAAUGAAUGGGAGCGGAAAAUGGCCAAAGUCAGUGUUUGCAAGUGUUGUACUUGUCUGGAAGUGUUGAAAAUGCAUUGUGAGCACGUUUCAGGCCAUUUCCUGUCAUUUGAGGGCGACUUUGCAAAAAGGGGUGUCCUACCGCUUUUGACCAGAGGUGGCGCUGCACAUGUCCGACGGUUAGGGUUAGGGUGAGACUUUGGGCAAGGGGUUAGGGUUAGGGCUGGAGCUAUGGUUAGGGUUAGUUGUGGAGCUAGGGUUAGGGUUAGGGUUGGAGCUAGGGUUAGGGUUAGGGUUGGAGCUAGGGUUAGGGUUAGGGUUAGGAAAAUGUGAAGAUUUUCCCAAAAUCUGAAGAUUUUCCUAAGUGCGGACCCAAUUUUUCACCUUCCAGAAUUGUGUUAGGAGCACGUUUCAGGCCACGGGGAGUCCAUAGAACCUGAUUGUGGGUGAAGUUUUCGGGGGUUGGAGCUUUGGGGCAGGAUAUAGGGAUAUGUGCCACUUUUGACAUGCCGGUUCAUUGCCUUUCCCAUCGAUGAACCGGGCUGAGAUUUGGUCUACCCCCCAUUUUCGGGUAUGCUGAAUCUAGAAAUAGUAAUGAACCAGCGAUCGGACAUUCCUAUCAAAAGUUAUGGCGAAGUGAAAAUUUCCCAUUGAAAAUGAAUGGGAGCGGAAAAUGGCCAAAGUCAGUGUUUGCAAGUGUUGUACUUGUCUGGAAGUGUUGAAAAUGCAUUGUGAGCACGUUUCAGGCCAUUUCCUGUCAUUUGAGGGCGACUUUGCAAAAAGGGGUGUCCUACCGCUUUUGACCAGAGGUGGCGCUGCACAUGUCCGACGGUUAGGGUUAGGGUGAGACUUUGGGCAAGGGGUUAGGGUUAGGGCUGGAGCUAUGGUUAGGGUUAGUUGUGGAGCUAGGGUUAGGGUUAGGGUUGGAGCUAGGGUUAGGGUUAGGGUUGGAGCUAGGGUUAGGGUUAGGGUUAGGAAAAUGUGAAGAUUUUCCCAAAAUCUGAAGAUUUUCCUAAGUGCGGACCCAAUUUUUCACCUUCCAGAAUUGUGUUAGGAGCACGUUUCAGGCCACGGGGAGUCCAUAGAACCUGAUUGUGGGUGAAGUUUUCGGGGGUUGGAGCUUUGGGGCAGGAUAUAGGGAUAUGUGCCACUUUUGACAUGCCGGUUCAUUGCCUUUCCCAUCGAUGAACCGGGCUGAGAUUUGGUCUACCCCCCAUUUUCGGGUAUGCUGAAUCUAGAAAUAGUAAUGAACCAGCGAUCGGACAUUCCUAUCAAAAGUUAUGGCGAAGUGAAAAUUUCCCAUUGAAAAUGAAUGGGAGCGGAAAAAUGGCCAAAGUCAGUGUUUGCAAGUGUUGUACUUGUCUGGAAGUGUUGAAAAUGCAUUGUGAGCACGUUUCAGGCCAUUUCCUGUCAUUUGAGGGCGACUUUGCAAAAGGGGUGUCCUACCGCUUUUGACCAGAGGUGGCGCUGCACAUGUCCGACGGUUAGGGUUAGGGUGAGACUUUGGGCAAGGGGUUAGGGUUAGGGCUGGAGCUAUGGUUAGGGUUAGUUGUGGAGCUAGGGUUAGGGUUAGGGUUGGAGCUAGGGUUAGGGUUAGGGUUGGAGCUAGGGUUAGGGUUAGGGUUAGGAAAAUGUGAAGAUUUUCCCAAAAUCUGAAGAUUUUCCUAAGUGCGGACCCAAUUUUUCACCUUCCAGAAUUGUGUUAGGAGCACGUUUCAGGCCACGGGGAGUCCAUAGAACCUGAUUGUGGGUGAAGUUUUCGGGGGUUGGAGCUUUGGGGCAGGAUAUAGGGAUAUGUGCCACUUUUGACAUGCCGGUUCAUUGCCUUUCCCAUGAUGAACCGGGCUGAGAUUUGGUCUACCCCCCCAUUUUCGGGUAUGCUGAAUCUAGAAAUAGUAAUGAACCAGCGAUCGGACAUUCCUAUCAAAAGUUAUGGCGAAGUGAAAAUUUCCCAUUGAAAAUGAAUGGGAGCGGAAAAAUGGCCAAAGUCAGUGUUUGCAAGUGUUGUACUUGUCUGGAAGUGUUGAAAAUGCAUUGUGAGCACGUUUCAGGCCAUUUCCUGUCAUUUGAGGGCGACUUUGCAAAAAGGGGUGUCAUACCGCUUUUGACCAGAGGUGGCGCUGCACAUGUCCGACGGUUAGGGUUAGGGUGAGACUUUGGGCAAGGGGUUAGGGUUAGGGCUGGAGCUAUGGUUAGGGUUAGUUGUGGAGCUAGGGUUAGGGUUAGGGUUGGAGCUAGGGUUAGGGUUAGGGUUGGAGCUAGGGUUAGGGUUAGGGUUAGGAAAAUGUGAAGAUUUUCCCAAAAUCUGAAGAUUUUCCUAAGUGCGGACCCAAUUUUUCACCUUCCAGAAUUGUGUUAGGAGCACGUUUCAGGCCACGGGGAGUCCAUAGAACCUGAUUGUGGGUGAAGUUUUCGGGGGUUGGAGCUUUGGGGCAGGAUAUAGGGAUAUGUGCCACUUUUGACAUGCCGGUUCAUUGCCUUUCCCAUGAUGAACCGGGCUGAGAUUUGGUCUACCCCCCCAUUUUCGGGUAUGCUGAAUCUAGAAAUAGUAAUGAACCAGCGAUCGGACAUUCCUAUCAAAAGUUAUGGCGAAGUGAAAAUUUCCCAUUGAAAAUGAAUGGGAGCGGAAAAAUGGCCAAAGUCAGUGUUUGCAAGUGUUGUACUUGUCUGGAAGUGUUGAAAAUGCAUUGUGAGCACGUUUCAGGCCAUUUCCUGUCAUUUGAGGGCGACUUUGCAAAAGGGGUGUCAUACCGCUUUUGACCAGAGGUGGCGCUGCACAUGUCCGACGGUUAGGGUUAGGGUGAGACUUUGGGCAAGGGGUUAGGGUUAGGGCUGGAGCUAUGGUUAGGGUUAGUUGUGGAGCUAGGGUUAGGGUUAGGGUUGGAGCUAGGGUUAGGGUUAGGGUUGGAGCUAGGGUUAGGGUUAGGGUUAGGAAAAUGUGAAGAUUUUCCCAAAAUCUGAAGAUUUUCCUAAGUGCGGACCCAAUUUUUCACCUUCCAGAAUUGUGUUAGGAGCACGUUUCAGGCCACGGGGAGUCCAUAGAACCUGAUUGUGGGUGAAGUUUUCGGGGGUUGGAGCUUUGGGGCAGGAUAUAGGGAUAUGUGCCACUUUUGACAUGCCGGUUCAUUGCCUUUCCCAUGAUGAACCGGGCUGAGAUUUGGUCUACCCCCCAUUUUCGGGUAUGCUGAAUCUAGAAAUAGUAAUGAACCAGCGAUCGGACAUUCCUAUCAAAAGUUAUGGCGAAGUGAAAAUUUCCCAUUGAAAAUGAAUGGGAGCGGAAAAAUGGCCAAAGUCAGUGUUUGCAAGUGUUGUACUUGUCUGGAAGUGUUGAAAAUGCAUUGUGAGCACGUUUCAGGCCAUUUCCUGUCAUUUGAGGGCGACUUUGCAAAAAGGGGUGUCAUACCGCUUUUGACCAGAGGUGGCGCUGCACAUGUCCGACGGUUAGGGUUAGGGUGAGACUUUGGGCAAGGGGUUAGGGUUAGGGCUGGAGCUAUGGUUAGGGUUAGUUGUGGAGCUAGGGUUAGGGUUAGGGUUGGAGCUAGGGUUAGGGUUAGGGUUGGAGCUAGGGUUAGGGUUAGGGUUAGGAAAAUGUGAAGAUUUUCCCAAAAUCUGAAGAUUUUCCUAAGUGCGGACCCAAUUUUUCACCUUCCAGAAUUGUGUUAGGAGCACGUUUCAGGCCACGGGGAGUCCAUAGAACCUGAUUGUGGGUGAAGUUUUCGGGGGUUGGAGCUUUGGGGCAGGAUAUAGGGAUAUGUGCCACUUUUGACAUGCCGGUUCAUUGCCUUUCCCAUGAUGAACCGGGCUGAGAUUUGGUCUACCCCCCCAUUUUCGGGUAUGCUGAAUCUAGAAAUAGUAAUGAACCAGCGAUCGGACAUUCCUAUCAAAAGUUAUGGCGAAGUGAAAAUUUCCCAUUGAAAAUGAAUGGGAGCGGAAAAUGGCCAAAGUCAGUGUUUGCAAGUGUUGUACUUGUCUGGAAGUGUUGAAAAUGCAUUGUGAGCACGUUUCAGGCCAUUUCCUGUCAUUUGAGGGCGACUUUGCAAAAAGGGGUGUCAUACCGCUUUUGACCAGAGGUGGCGCUGCACAUGUCCGACGGUUAGGGUUAGGGUGAGACUUUGGGCAAGGGGUUAGGGUUAGGGCUGGAGCUAUGGUUAGGGUUAGUUGUGGAGCUAGGGUUAGGGUUAGGGUUGGAGCUAGGGUUAGGGUUAGGGUUGGAGCUAGGGUUAGGGUUAGGGUUAGGAAAAUGUGAAGAUUUUCCCAAAAUCUGAAGAUUUUCCUAAGUGCGGACCCAAUUUUUCACCUUCCAGAAUUGUGUUAGGAGCACGUUUCAGGCCACGGGGAGUCCAUAGAACCUGAUUGUGGGUGAAGUUUUCGGGGGUUGGAGCUUUGGGGCAGGAUAUAGGGAUAUGUGCCACUUUUGACAUGCCGGUUCAUUGCCUUUCCCAUGAUGAACCGGGCUGAGAUUUGGUCUACCCCCCAUUUUCGGGUAUGCUGAAUCUAGAAAUAGUAAUGAACCAGCGAUCGGACAUUCCUAUCAAAAGUUAUGGCGAAGUGAAAAUUUCCCAUUGAAAAUGAAUGGGAGCGGAAAAUGGCCAAAGUCAGUGUUUGCAAGUGUUGUACUUGUCUGGAAGUGUUGAAAAUGCAUUGUGAGCACGUUUCAGGCCAUUUCCUGUCAUUUGAGGGCGACUUUGCAAAAAGGGGUGUCAUACCGCUUUUGACCAGAGGUGGCGCUGCACAUGUCCGACGGUUAGGGUUAGGGUGAGACUUUGGGCAAGGGGUUAGGGUUAGGGCUGGAGCUAUGGUUAGGGUUAGUUGUGGAGCUAGGGUUAGGGUUAGGGUUGGAGCUAGGGUUAGGGUUAGGGUUGGAGCUAGGGUUAGGGUUAGGGUUAGGAAAAUGUGAAGAUUUUCCCAAAAUCUGAAGAUUUUCCUAAGUGCGGACCCAAUUUUUCACCUUCCAGAAUUGUGUUAGGAGCACGUUUCAGGCCACGGGGAGUCCAUAGAACCUGAUUGUGGGUGAAGUUUUCGGGGGUUGGAGCUUUGGGGCAGGAUAUAGGGAUAUGUGCCACUUUUGACAUGCCGGUUCAUUGCCUUUCCCAUCGAUGAACCGGGCUGAGAUUUGGUCUACCCCCCCAUUUUCGGGUAUGCUGAAUCUAGAAAUAGUAAUGAACCAGCGAUCGGACAUUCCUAUCAAAAGUUAUGGCGAAGUGAAAAUUUCCCAUUGAAAAUGAAUGGGAGCGGAAAAAUGGCCAAAGUCAGUGUUUGCAAGUGUUGUACUUGUCUGGAAGUGUUGAAAAUGCAUUGUGAGCACGUUUCAGGCCAUUUCCUGUCAUUUGAGGGCGACUUUGCAAAAAGGGGUGUCAUACCGCUUUUGACCAGAGGUGGCGCUGCACAUGUCCGACGGUUAGGGUUAGGGUGAGACUUUGGGCAAGGGGUUAGGGUUAGGGCUGGAGCUAUGGUUAGGGUUAGUUGUGGAGCUAGGGUUAGGGUUAGGGUUGGGGCUAGGGUUAGGGUUAGGGUUGGAGCUAGGGUUAGGGUUAGGGUUAGGAAAAUGUGAAGAUUUUCCCAAAAUCUGAAGAUUUUCCUAAGUGCGGACCCAAUUUUUCACCUUCCAGAAUUGUGUUAGGAGCACGUUUCAGGCCACGGGGAGUCCAUAGAACCUGAUUGUGGGUGAAGUUUUCGGGGGUUGGAGCUUUGGGGCAGGAUAUAGGGAUAUGUGCCACUUUUGACAUGCCGGUUCAUUGCCUUUCCCAUGAUGAACCGGGCUGAGAUUUGGUCUACCCCCCAUUUUCGGGUAUGCUGAAUCUAGAAAUAGUAAUGAACCAGCGAUCGGACAUUCCUAUCAAAAGUUAUGGCGAAGUGAAAAUUUCCCAUUGAAAAUGAAUGGGAGCGGAAAAAUGGCCAAAGUCAGUGUUUGCAAGUGUUGUACUUGUCUGGAAGUGUUGAAAAUGCAUUGUGAGCACGUUUCAGGCCAUUUCCUGUCAUUUGAGGGCGACUUUGCAAAAAGGGGUGUCAUACCGCUUUUGACCAGAGGUGGCGCUGCACAUGUCCGACGGUUAGGGUUAGGGUGAGACUUUGGGCAAGGGGUUAGGGUUAGGGCUGGAGCUAUGGUUAGGGUUAGUUGUGGAGCUAGGGUUAGGGUUAGGGUUGGAGCUAGGGUUAGGGUUAGGGUUGGAGCUAGGGUUAGGGUUAGGGUUAGGAAAAUGUGAAGAUUUUCCCAAAAUCUGAAGAUUUUCCUAAGUGCGGACCCAAUUUUUCACCUUCCAGAAUUGUGUUAGGAGCACGUUUCAGGCCACGGGGAGUCCAUAGAACCUGAUUGUGGGUGAAGUUUUCGGGGGUUGGAGCUUUGGGGCAGGAUAUAGGGAUAUGUGCCACUUUUGACAUGCCGGUUCAUUGCCUUUCCCAUGAUGAACCGGGCUGAGAUUUGGUCUACCCCCCCAUUUUCGGGUAUGCUGAAUCUAGAAAUAGUAAUGAACCAGCGAUCGGACAUUCCUAUCAAAAGUUAUGGCGAAGUGAAAAUUUCCCAUUGAAAAUGAAUGGGAGCGGAAAAUGGCCAAAGUCAGUGUUUGCAAGUGUUGUACUUGUCUGGAAGUGUUGAAAAUGCAUUGUGAGCACGUUUCAGGCCAUUUCCUGUCAUUUGAGGGCGACUUUGCAAAAAGGGGUGUCAUACCGCUUUUGACCAGAGGUGGCGCUGCACAUGUCCGACGGUUAGGGUUAGGGUGAGACUUUGGGCAAGGGGUUAGGGUUAGGGCUGGAGCUAUGGUUAGGGUUAGUUGUGGAGCUAGGGUUAGGGUUAGGGUUGGAGCUAGGGUUAGGGUUAGGGUUGGAGCUAGGGUUAGGGUUAGGGUUAGGAAAAUGUGAAGAUUUUCCCAAAAUCUGAAGAUUUUCCUAAGUGCGGACCCAAUUUUUCACCUUCCAGAAUUGUGUUAGGAGCACGUUUCAGGCCACGGGGAGUCCAUAGAACCUGAUUGUGGGUGAAGUUUUCGGGGGUUGGAGCUUUGGGGCAGGAUAUAGGGAUAUGUGCCACUUUUGACAUGCCGGUUCAUUGCCUUUCCCAUGAUGAACCGGGCUGAGAUUUGGUCUACCCCCCCAUUUUCGGGUAUGCUGAAUCUAGAAAUAGUAAUGAACCAGCGAUCGGACAUUCCUAUCAAAAGUUAUGGCGAAGUGAAAAUUUCCCAUUGAAAAUGAAUGGGAGCGGAAAAUGGCCAAAGUCAGUGUUUGCAAGUGUUGUACUUGUCUGGAAGUGUUGAAAAUGCAUUGUGAGCACGUUUCAGGCCAUUUCCUGUCAUUUGAGGGCGACUUUGCAAAAAGGGGUGUCAUACCGCUUUUGACCAGAGGUGGCGCUGCACAUGUCCGACGGUUAGGGUUAGGGUGAGACUUUGGGCAAGGGGUUAGGGUUAGGGCUGGAGCUAUGGUUAGGGUUAGUUGUGGAGCUAGGGUUAGGGUUAGGGUUGGAGCUAGGGUUAGGGUUAGGGUUGGAGCUAGGGUUAGGGUUAGGGUUAGGAAAAUGUGAAGAUUUUCCCAAAAUCUGAAGAUUUUCCUAAGUGCGGACCCAAUUUUUCACCUUCCAGAAUUGUGUUAGGAGCACGUUUCAGGCCACGGGGAGUCCAUAGAACCUGAUUGUGGGUGAAGUUUUCGGGGGUUGGAGCUUUGGGGCAGGAUAUAGGGAUAUGUGCCACUUUUGACAUGCCGGUUCAUUGCCUUUCCCAUGAUGAACCGGGCUGAGAUUUGGUCUACCCCCCAUUUUCGGGUAUGCUGAAUCUAGAAAUAGUAAUGAACCAGCGAUCGGACAUUCCUAUCAAAAGUUAUGGCGAAGUGAAAAUUUCCCAUUGAAAAUGAAUGGGAGCGGAAAAUGGCCAAAGUCAGUGUUUGCAAGUGUUGUACUUGUCUGGAAGUGUUGAAAAUGCAUUGUGAGCACGUUUCAGGCCAUUUCCUGUCAUUUGAGGGCGACUUUGCAAAAAGGGGUGUCAUACCGCUUUUGACCAGAGGUGGCGCUGCACAUGUCCGACGGUUAGGGUUAGGGUGAGACUUUGGGCAAGGGGUUAGGGUUAGGGCUGGAGCUAUGGUUAGGGUUAGUUGUGGAGCUAGGGUUAGGGUUAGGGUUGGAGCUAGGGUUAGGGUUAGGGUUGGAGCUAGGGUUAGGGUUAGGGUUAGGAAAAUGUGAAGAUUUUCCCAAAAUCUGAAGAUUUUCCUAAGUGCGGACCCAAUUUUUCACCUUCCAGAAUUGUGUUAGGAGCACGUUUCAGGCCACGGGGAGUCCAUAGAACCUGAUUGUGGGUGAAGUUUUCGGGGGUUGGAGCUUUGGGGCAGGAUAUAGGGAUAUGUGCCACUUUUGACAUGCCGGUUCAUUGCCUUUCCCAUGAUGAACCGGGCUGAGAUUUGGUCUACCCCCCAUUUUCGGGUAUGCUGAAUCUAGAAAUAGUAAUGAACCAGCGAUCGGACAUUCCUAUCAAAAGUUAUGGCGAAGUGAAAAUUUCCCAUUGAAAAUGAAUGGGAGCGGAAAAUGGCCAAAGUCAGUGUUUGCAAGUGUUGUACUUGUCUGGAAGUGUUGAAAAUGCAUUGUGAGCACGUUUCAGGCCAUUUCCUGUCAUUUGAGGGCGACUUUGCAAAAAGGGGUGUCAUACCGCUUUUGACCAGAGGUGGCGCUGCACAUGUCCGACGGUUAGGGUUAGGGUGAGACUUUGGGCAAGGGGUUAGGGUUAGGGCUGGAGCUAUGGUUAGGGUUAGUUGUGGAGCUAGGGUUGGGUUAGGGUUGGAGCUAGGGUUAGGGUUAGGGUUGGAGCUAGGGUUAGGGUUAGGGUUAGGAAAAUGUGAAGAUUUUCCCAAAAUCUGAAGAUUUUCCUAAGUGCGGACCCAAUUUUUCACCUUCCAGAAUUGUGUUAGGAGCACGUUUCAGGCCACGGGGAGUCCAUAGAACCUGAUUGUGGGUGAAGUUUUCGGGGGUUGGAGCUUUGGGGCAGGAUAUAGGGAUAUGUGCCACUUUUGACAUGCCGGUUCAUUGCCUUUCCCAUGAUGAACCGGGCUGAGAUUUGGUCUACCCCCCAUUUUCGGGUAUGCUGAAUCUAGAAAUAGUAAUGAACCAGCGAUCGGACAUUCCUAUCAAAAGUUAUGGCGAAGUGAAAAUUUCCCAUUGAAAAUGAAUGGGAGCGGAAAAUGGCCAAAGUCAGUGUUUGCAAGUGUUGUACUUGUCUGGAAGUGUUGAAAAUGCAUUGUGAGCACGUUUCAGGCCAUUUCCUGUCAUUUGAGGGCGACUUUGCAAAAAGGGGUGUCAUACCGCUUUUGACCAGAGGUGGCGCUGCACAUGUCCGACGGUUAGGGUUAGGGUGAGACUUUGGGCAAGGGGUUAGGGUUAGGGCUGGAGCUAUGGUUAGGGUUAGUUGUGGAGCUAGGGUUAGGGUUAGGGUUGGAGCUAGGGUUAGGGUUAGGGUUGGAGCUAGGGUUAGGGUUAGGGUUAGGAAAAUGUGAAGAUUUUCCCAAAAUCUGAAGAUUUUCCUAAGUGCGGACCCAAUUUUUCACCUUCCAGAAUUGUGUUAGGAGCACGUUUCAGGCCACGGGGAGUCCAUAGAACCUGAUUGUGGGUGAAGUUUUCGGGGGUUGGAGCUUUGGGGCAGGAUAUAGGGAUAUGUGCCACUUUUGACAUGCCGGUUCAUUGCCUUUCCCAUGAUGAACCGGGCUGAGAUUUGGUCUACCCCCCAUUUUCGGGUAUGCUGAAUCUAGAAAUAGUAAUGAACCAGCGAUCGGACAUUCCUAUCAAAAGUUAUGGCGAAGUGAAAAUUUCCCAUUGAAAAUGAAUGGGAGCGGAAAAUGGCCAAAGUCAGUGUUUGCAAGUGUUGUACUUGUCUGGAAGUGUUGAAAAUGCAUUGUGAGCACGUUUCAGGCCAUUUCCUGUCAUUUGAGGGCGACUUUGCAAAAAGGGGUGUCAUACCGCUUUUGACCAGAGGUGGCGCUGCACAUGUCCGACGGUUAGGGUUAGGGUGAGACUUUGGGCAAGGGGUUAGGGUUAGGGCUGGAGCUAUGGUUAGGGUUAGUUGUGGAGCUAGGGUUAGGGUUAGGGUUGGAGCUAGGGUUAGGGUUAGGGUUGGAGCUAGGGUUAGGGUUAGGGUUAGGAAAAUGUGAAGAUUUUCCCAAAAUCUGAAGAUUUUCCUAAGUGCGGACCCAAUUUUUCACCUUCCAGAAUUGUGUUAGGAGCACGUUUCAGGCCACGGGGAGUCCAUAGAACCUGAUUGUGGGUGAAGUUUUCGGGGGUUGGAGCUUUGGGGCAGGAUAUAGGGAUAUGUGCCACUUUUGACAUGCCGGUUCAUUGCCUUUCCCAUCGAUGAACCGGGCUGAGAUUUGGUCUACCCCCCCAUUUUCGGGUAUGCUGAAUCUAGAAAUAGUAAUGAACCAGCGAUCGGACAUUCCUAUCAAAAGUUAUGGCGAAGUGAAAAUUUCCCAUUGAAAAUGAAUGGGAGCGGAAAAUGGCCAAAGUCAGUGUUUGCAAGUGUUGUACUUGUCUGGAAGUGUUGAAAAUGCAUUGUGAGCACGUUUCAGGCCAUUUCCUGUCAUUUGAGGGCGACUUUGCAAAAAGGGGUGUCAUACCGCUUUUGACCAGAGGUGGCGCUGCACAUGUCCGACGGUUAGGGUUAGGGUGAGACUUUGGGCAAGGGGUUAGGGUUAGGGCUGGAGCUAUGGUUAGGGUUAGUUGUGGAGCUAGGGUUAGGGUUAGGGUUGGAGCUAGGGUUAGGGUUAGGGUUGGAGCUAGGGUUAGGGUUAGGGUUAGGAAAAUGUGAAGAUUUUCCCAAAAUCUGAAGAUUUUCCUAAGUGCGGACCCAAUUUUUCACCUUCCAGAAUUGUGUUAGGAGCACGUUUCAGGCCACGGGGAGUCCAUAGAACCUGAUUGUGGGUGAAGUUUUCGGGGGUUGGAGCUUUGGGGCAGGAUAUAGGGAUAUGUGCCACUUUUGACAUGCCGGUUCAUUGCCUUUCCCAUGAUGAACCGGGCUGAGAUUUGGUCUACCCCCCAUUUUCGGGUAUGCUGAAUCUAGAAAUAGUAAUGAACCAGCGAUCGGACAUUCCUAUCAAAAGUUAUGGCGAAGUGAAAAUUUCCCAUUGAAAAUGAAUGGGAGCGGAAAAUGGCCAAAGUCAGUGUUUGCAAGUGUUGUACUUGUCUGGAAGUGUUGAAAAUGCAUUGUGAGCACGUUUCAGGCCAUUUCCUGUCAUUUGAGGGCGACUUUGCAAAAGGGGUGUCAUACCGCUUUUGACCAGAGGUGGCGCUGCACAUGUCCGACGGUUAGGGUUAGGGUGAGACUUUGGGCAAGGGGUUAGGGUUAGGGCUGGAGCUAUGGUUAGGGUUAGUUGUGGAGCUAGGGUUAGGGUUAGGGUUGGAGCUAGGGUUAGGGUUAGGGUUGGAGCUAGGGUUAGGGUUAGGGUUAGGAAAAUGUGAAGAUUUUCCCAAAAUCUGAAGAUUUUCCUAAGUGCGGACCCAAUUUUUCACCUUCCAGAAUUGUGUUAGGAGCACGUUUCAGGCCACGGGGAGUCCAUAGAACCUGAUUGUGGGUGAAGUUUUCGGGGGUUGGAGCUUUGGGGCAGGAUAUAGGGAUAUGUGCCACUUUUGACAUGCCGGUUCAUUGCCUUUCCCAUGAUGAACCGGGCUGAGAUUUGGUCUACCCCCCAUUUUCGGGUAUGCUGAAUCUAGAAAUAGUAAUGAACCAGCGAUCGGACAUUCCUAUCAAAAGUUAUGGCGAAGUGAAAAUUUCCCAUUGAAAAUGAAUGGGAGCGGAAAAUGGCCAAAGUCAGUGUUUGCAAGUGUUGUACUUGUCUGGAAGUGUUGAAAAUGCAUUGUGAGCACGUUUCAGGCCAUUUCCUGUCAUUUGAGGGCGACUUUGCAAAAGGGGUGUCAUACCGCUUUUGACCAGAGGUGGCGCUGCACAUGUCCGACGGUUAGGGUUAGGGUGAGACUUUGGGCAAGGGGUUAGGGUUAGGGCUGGAGCUAUGGUUAGGGUUAGUUGUGGAGCUAGGGUUAGGGUUAGGGUUGGAGCUAGGGUUAGGGUUAGGGUUGGAGCUAGGGUUAGGGUUAGGGUUAGGAAAAUGUGAAGAUUUUCCCAAAAUCUGAAGAUUUUCCUAAGUGCGGACCCAAUUUUUCACCUUCCAGAAUUGUGUUAGGAGCACGUUUCAGGCCACGGGGAGUCCAUAGAACCUGAUUGUGGGUGAAGUUUUCGGGGGUUGGAGCUUUGGGGCAGGAUAUAGGGAUAUGUGCCACUUUUGACAUGCCGGUUCAUUGCCUUUCCCAUGAUGAACCGGGCUGAGAUUUGGUCUACCCCCCCAUUUUCGGGUAUGCUGAAUCUAGAAAUAGUAAUGAACCAGCGAUCGGACAUUCCUAUCAAAAGUUAUGGCGAAGUGAAAAUUUCCCAUUGAAAAUGAAUGGGAGCGGAAAAUGGCCAAAGUCAGUGUUUGCAAGUGUUGUACUUGUCUGGAAGUGUUGAAAAUGCAUUGUGAGCACGUUUCAGGCCAUUUCCUGUCAUUUGAGGGCGACUUUGCAAAAAGGGGUGUCAUACCGCUUUUGACCAGAGGUGGCGCUGCACAUGUCCGACGGUUAGGGUUAGGGUGAGACUUUGGGCAAGGGGUUAGGGUUAGGGCUGGAGCUAUGGUUAGGGUUAGUUGUGGAGCUAGGGUUAGGGUUAGGGUUGGAGCUAGGGUUAGGGUUAGGGUUGGAGCUAGGGUUAGGGUUAGGGUUAGGAAAAUGUGAAGAUUUUCCCAAAAUCUGAAGAUUUUCCUAAGUGCGGACCCAAUUUUUCACCUUCCAGAAUUGUGUUAGGAGCACGUUUCAGGCCACGGGGAGUCCAUAGAACCUGAUUGUGGGUGAAGUUUUCGGGGGUUGGAGCUUUGGGGCAGGAUAUAGGGAUAUGUGCCACUUUUGACAUGCCGGUUCAUUGCCUUUCCCAUGAUGAACCGGGCUGAGAUUUGGUCUACCCCCCCAUUUUCGGGUAUGCUGAAUCUAGAAAUAGUAAUGAACCAGCGAUCGGACAUUCCUAUCAAAAGUUAUGGCGAAGUGAAAAUUUCCCAUUGAAAAUGAAUGGGAGCGGAAAAUGGCCAAAGUCAGUGUUUGCAAGUGUUGUACUUGUCUGGAAGUGUUGAAAAUGCAUUGUGAGCACGUUUCAGGCCAUUUCCUGUCAUUUGAGGGCGACUUUGCAAAAAGGGGUGUCAUACCGCUUUUGACCAGAGGUGGCGCUGCACAUGUCCGACGGUUAGGGUUAGGGUGAGACUUUGGGCAAGGGGUUAGGGUUAGGGCUGGAGCUAUGGUUAGGGUUAGUUGUGGAGCUAGGGUUAGGGUUAGGGUUGGAGCUAGGGUUAGGGUUAGGGUUGGAGCUAGGGUUAGGGUUAGGGUUAGGAAAAUGUGAAGAUUUUCCCAAAAUCUGAAGAUUUUCCUAAGUGCGGACCCAAUUUUUCACCUUCCAGAAUUGUGUUAGGAGCACGUUUCAGGCCACGGGGAGUCCAUAGAACCUGAUUGUGGGUGAAGUUUUCGGGGGUUGGAGCUUUGGGGCAGGAUAUAGGGAUAUGUGCCACUUUUGACAUGCCGGUUCAUUGCCUUUCCCAUGAUGAACCGGGCUGAGAUUUGGUCUACCCCCCCAUUUUCGGGUAUGCUGAAUCUAGAAAUAGUAAUGAACCAGCGAUCGGACAUUCCUAUCAAAAGUUAUGGCGAAGUGAAAAUUUCCCAUUGAAAAUGAAUGGGAGCGGAAAAAUGGCCAAAGUCAGUGUUUGCAAGUGUUGUACUUGUCUGGAAGUGUUGAAAAUGCAUUGUGAGCACGUUUCAGGCCAUUUCCUGUCAUUUGAGGGCGACUUUGCAAAAAGGGGUGUCAUACCGCUUUUGACCAGAGGUGGUGCUGCACAUGUCCGACGGUUAGGGUUAGGGUGAGACUUUGGGCAAGGGGUUAGGGUUAGGGCUGGAGCUAUGGUUAGGGUUAGUUGUGGAGCUAGGGUUAGGGUUAGGGUUGGAGCUAGGGUUAGGGUUAGGGUUGGAGCUAGGGUUAGGGUUAGGGUUAGGAAAAUGUGAAGAUUUUCCCAAAAUCUGAAGAUUUUCCUAAGUGCGGACCCAAUUUUUCACCUUCCAGAAUUGUGUUAGGAGCACGUUUCAGGCCACGGGGAGUCCAUAGAACCUGAUUGUGGGUGAAGUUUUCGGGGGUUGGAGCUUUGGGGCAGGAUAUAGGGAUAUGUGCCACUUUUGACAUGCCGGUUCAUUGCCUUUCCCAUGAUGAACCGGGCUGAGAUUUGGUCUACCCCCCAUUUUCGGGUAUGCUGAAUCUAGAAAUAGUAAUGAACCAGCGAUCGGACAUUCCUAUCAAAAGUUAUGGCGAAGUGAAAAUUUCCCAUUGAAAAUGAAUGGGAGCGGAAAAAUGGCCAAAGUCAGUGUUUGCAAGUGUUGUACUUGUCUGGAAGUGUUGAAAAUGCAUUGUGAGCACGUUUCAGGCCAUUUCCUGUCAUUUGAGGGCGACUUUGCAAAAAGGGGUGUCAUACCGCUUUUGACCAGAGGUGGCGCUGCACAUGUCCGACGGUUAGGGUUAGGGUGAGACUUUGGGCAAGGGGUUAGGGUUAGGGCUGGAGCUAUGGUUAGGGUUAGUUGUGGAGCUAGGGUUAGGGUUAGGGUUGGAGCUAGGGUUAGGGUUAGGGUUGGAGCUAGGGUUAGGGUUAGGGUUAGGAAAAUGUGAAGAUUUUCCCAAAAUCUGAAGAUUUUCCUAAGUGCGGACCCAAUUUUUCACCUUCCAGAAUUGUGUUAGGAGCACGUUUCAGGCCACGGGGAGUCCAUAGAACCUGAUUGUGGGUGAAGUUUUCGGGGGUUGGAGCUUUGGGGCAGGAUAUAGGGAUAUGUGCCACUUUUGACAUGCCGGUUCAUUGCCUUUCCCAUGAUGAACCGGGCUGAGAUUUGGUCUACCCCCCAUUUUCGGGUAUGCUGAAUCUAGAAAUAGUAAUGAACCAGCGAUCGGACAUUCCUAUCAAAAGUUAUGGCGAAGUGAAAAUUUCCCAUUGAAAAUGAAUGGGAGCGGAAAAUGGCCAAAGUCAGUGUUUGCAAGUGUUGUACUUGUCUGGAAGUGUUGAAAAUGCAUUGUGAGCACGUUUCAGGCCAUUUCCUGUCAUUUGAGGGCGACUUUGCAAAAGGGGUGUCAUACCGCUUUUGACCAGAGGUGGUGCUGCACAUGUCCGACGGUUAGGGUUAGGGUGAGACUUUGGGCAAGGGGUUAGGGUUAGGGCUGGAGCUAUGGUUAGGGUUAGUUGUGGAGCUAGGGUUAGGGUUAGGAGCUAGGGUUAGGGUUAGGGUUGGAGCUAGGGUUAGGGUUAGGGUUAGGAAAAUGUGAAGAUUUUCCCAAAAUCUGAAGAUUUUCCUAAGUGCGGACCCAAUUUUUCACCUUCCAGAAUUGUGUUAGGAGCACGUUUCAGGCCACGGGGAGUCCAUAGAACCUGAUUGUGGGUGAAGUUUUCGGGGGUUGGAGCUUUGGGGCAGGAUAUAGGGAUAUGUGCCACUUUUGACAUGCCGGUUCAUUGCCUUUCCCAAUGAUGAACCGGGCUGAGAUUUGGUCUACCCCCCCAUUUUCGGGUAUGCUGAAUCUAGAAAUAGUAAUGAACCAGCGAUCGGACAUUCCUAUCAAAAGUUAUGGCGAAGUGAAAAUUUCCCAUUGAAGAUGAAUGGGAGCGGAAAAAUGGCCAAAGUCAGUGUUUGCAAGUGUUCUACUUGUCUGGAAAUGUUGAAAAUGCAUUGUGAGCACGUUUCAGGCCAUUUCCUGUCAUUUGAGGGCGACUUUGCAAAAGGGGUGUCCUACCGCUUUUGACCAGAGGUGGCGCUGCACAUGUCCGACGGUUAGGGUUAGGGUGAGACUUUGGGCAAGGGGUUAGGGUUAGGGCUGGAGCUAUGGUUAGGGUUAGUUGUGGAGCUAGGGUUGGAG